AUAUAGUUUUAUCUUUCUGGAAAAUGAUUACGAAUAAUCGCCAUCACGUUUUCGAAGUUUCACAGCAGUUUCGAUUGCGGAACGUUUGGAAAAAGUUAUCGGUGCGUUAUUAAAGAAUUUUAGAAAAAUGAUUUAAAAAGUCGUACUUGUUGAAAACCUGUUUAGAAAUGUCUUCGAAUCGUGUCUCAGUUAACAGCAUUCUUACCGGUACGAAUUUAACGAUUCAUGCGGCAAGAGAGAGUUUACAAAAUAUUAGAAGGAUUAGUGAGGAUAGCUAUUAUGGACUUAACGACGAAAAUUCGGAAAGAACUUGGAAUUAUUCUUAUUUAAGGGAUCAAUUCAAGAUAAAAAAUUUAGAUUUCAUGUUUGAAAAGUACACAAGACGAAUAAAUCAUGCUUAUUUUUCGUUAUUCUUGAUUCUCCUAUUCCUAUUGGGCAUUAUUCAUUUUUGUGUAGUAUUAGCUUCUAAUUUGGCCAAUAACUCUCUAAACGCUGUGAUAUUCGAUCUCGUAUGUUAUAGUAUUCUAAUUGUAUUGUCUGCUGUAACUCUUAUUUUCAACGAAUCUUACUUAUUGAAAAAUUCAAAAUUUAUAAUGACAAUCUCCAUAACAGUUUUUGCAAUAGUGUUCUUAAUUAAUUUCUUAGUACCCCUUUAUCAUUUUUGGAUAAACUUCUAUAUCAUCAGGCCAGCCUAUACCACAAUUAUAAUAUUUUCCUGCUAUUUAUUUUUUAACAUAAAUAAAGGAUACGUGACUUUCAUUCUGGGAUCGUUUGUAUCGCUAUGCGAAAUAUCUUACCUUUGUUUUGUCGUUUAUGGCAUCACAGGGGACUAUAGGGAAGAUUUUCACAUGUGGCAAAAGAUAAGUUCUGAUGUGGUGUUCUUGGUUUGUAUUAACUGCUUAGGUAUUUAUUAUCGUGUUAUAAACGAAAUUGUCCAGAGAAGAACGUUCUUAGACCGGCGAGCUUGCGUAAUGUCCACGUUAAAGCUGAAACACGAAGAAGAACAGGAAGAUCAACUCAUGUCAAGUAUCAUCCCCAAAAAUAUAAUAGAAGAAGUGAAAGUCGACAUUAUGAGAACGAUUCAAGUCAUUGAAACAUCGUCCAGACUUCCUCGACAAAAACCGUUUGAGAAUCCAUACAUUCACGUUUAUGAAAACGUAUCAAUUUUGUAUGCGGAUGUAGUUAAUUUUACAAUGCUUACUGGUACGCUAAGCGUGACCAAAUUGGUUGAAACAUUGAACGAACUUUUUGGAAGUUUUGAUGAUGCUUCUGAGAAACUUAAUGUUUUGCGAAUUAAAUUCUUGGGAGAUUGCUACUAUUGUGUAGCGGGUCUACCUCCAGAUCCUGCACCUAAUCAUGCUGAAGCCUGUGUAGAUCUCGGAUUAGAAAUGAUACAAAUUAUCAGAAAUGUAAGAGAAAGCAGUAAUGUCGGCAUUGGUAUGAGAAUUGGAAUAAAUUCUGGACGAGUUCUGAGCGGUUUGAUCGGUUUAACAAAGUGGCAGUUCGAUGUGUGGUCAACUGAUGUACUUAUUGCUAACAAAAUGGAAUCAACAGGUGAGGCUGGUAAGGUGCAUAUAACAAAGAAGACAAAAGAUUUACUAAAAAAACCCUACUUGAUUGAGCCAACCGAUAAGGGAAGAGUAAUGCCUGAACUUCAACCUUUCAACAUUGAAACUUUUCUUAUUUCACCAUUCGAAGUUAAUGUACAAAGGGAUAGUUUAAGAAAGCUGAGUGUUAUUCUCGACGAAACAGGAGACUCCAACAGUUUGCAACAAUUCUUGGCAAACAGUAAACUCAAUAAAUCGCCAAGUUACAGUUUAUUAAACAAUAGGACUUACAGUAGAACACCUUCAACAUUGAGCAAUGGAACCACAGAUAGUGGUUCCGAAGAUUAUUACUCAUCGAUUUACUCCAGACGCGAAUCUGUGAGAAAGGGGGACGCUCCAGUUGAAAGAAGAGCCAGUGGAUUGAAUUCGUUACGUCUCCCCGUUGCAAUGAGCGAAAGACGUAAAAAUUCUGGUGACAUUAAAAGAAGGACAGCUUUCAUGAAUAACUACAUAAAAAAAUACGCGAGAUAUUUAGAUAAUACCAAUAAGAGCAUGGAAAUGGCUAUAAAAAAGAUGCCUCUCACUAAAUACCAACAAUGGUUCAACGUUAAAGAUAUUCAUCCAUUCUUUCUGGUAUUCCAAAACCUCUCGGUAGAAAUGCAGUUCAUAAAACAAGGGGAUCCUCUCUUUAAAUACGCCAUUUUAAUGCAAAUAUUUUUAAUGCUGUGCUGCACUCUUCUCCAAAAUCUGACACUCAGCACAUGGCAGUCGGUUCUAGUGUUGAAUUACGUUACAUUAGUGUUUUUAGUUGUCGUAAUAACACCAGUAUUAUGGUCUCAGUAUCUUUGGCAGGAAUAUAUGUCCAAUUCGAAUCCCGAAUUAUUACCAAAAUUCACAUAUUUGAGGCUGAUAAUCCAGGUUUCAAAUCGGGUAACCAGUAGUUGGAUUUGGAGAUCUCUCAUUUACAUAAUUACAACAAGUCUAUGUGUAGCCUGCGUUUCAACCGAAUUAGUAGGUGCAGUGUAACAAAUACUUCAACGAAAUAAAUACAACGGACAUCAACGAAGAAUGCAUUACACCUUGGAAUAUGACCAGGGCUAUGUCUGUGAUAAUC
rnacentral:misc_RNA from 1 species